rnacentral:rRNA from 1 species
GCGACCCCAGGUUAGGCGGGAUUACCCGCUGAGUUUA